rnacentral:rRNA from 1 species
CCUACGGGAGGCUGCAGUGAGGAAUAUUGGUCAAUGGACGCAAGUCUGAACCAGCCAUGCCGCGUGCAGGAAGACGGCUCUAUGAGUUGUAAACUGCUUUUGUACGAGGGUAAACGCAGAUACGCGUAUCUGUCUGAAAGUAUCGUACGAAUAAGGAUCGGCUAACUCCGUGCCAGCAGCCGCGGUAAUACGGAGGAUUCAAGCGUUAUCCGGAUUUAUUGGGUUGAAAGGGUGCGUAGGCGGUCGGAUAAGUUAGAGGUGAAAUCCCGAGGCUCAACUUCGGAAUUGCCUCUGAUACUGUUCGGCGAGAGAGUAGUUGCGGUAGGCGGAAUGUAUGGUGUAGCGGUGAAAUGCUUAGAGAUCAUACAGAACACCGAUUGCGAAGGCAGCUUACCAAGCUACGUCUGACGUUGAGGCACGAAAGCGUGGGGAGCAAACAGGAUUAGAUACCCGGGUAGUC